GACGAACGCUGGCGGCGUGCUUAACACAUGCAAGUCGAACGAUGAAGCCGGAGCUUGCUCUGGUGAAUUAGUGGCGAACGGGUGAGUAACACGUGAGUAACCUGCCCUUGACUCUGGGAUAACUGCGGGAAACUGUAGCUAAUACCGGAUACGACCCUCGGAGGCAUCUCCUGGGGGUGGAAAGAAUUUCGGUCAAGGAUGGACUCGCGGCCUAUCAGCUAGUUGGUGAGGUAAAGGCUCACCAAGGCGACGACGGGUAGCCGGCCUGAGAGGGUGACCGGCCACACUAGGACUGAGACACGGCCCAGACUCCUACGGGAGGCAGCAGUGAGGAAUCUUCCACAAUGGGCGAAAGCCUGAUGGAGCGACACCGCGUGAAGGAUGAAGGCCUAACGGUUGUAAACUUCUUUUCUGAAGCAGCAUAAUGAGAGUACUUCAGGAAUAAGGGACGGCUAAAUACGUGCCAGCCGCCGCCGUAA
rnacentral:rRNA from 1 species